AGCUCUGUGGGUAAAAGCACUUGCCUCAAAAGCCUCCCAGAUCCCAUCAUGAUCUCACUCUCCCAAGUUAUCCUCCGGUGUUCAAAUGAAUCACAGCAUGUGUUCACAAGCACCACACUUAAAUAUAAGACUGAAGUUAGAAAGACGCUGAGCAGUUUGCAGGAGGCGGGGAGCCUUAGUUCAGUUCCCAGCACCACGUGGUUCGGCUCACAACUGCCUGGAACUCCAGCUCCCAGGGAAUCCAAGACACUGCUGGCCUCUGGCCUCCAAGAGCAUCUGCACUCCUGUGUACACACCCACACACAUAACUUUUCUAAAUCAAAAACUCAAUAAAUAUCUCUAAUUCCUCCUAAUGAAUGAAAAUACUGUGGCCACUCAGUUGGAGACCCAUCCACAAAAUUUAAAUAGACACAAGUCUUUCCAAGUUAACUUUUAAAAAAUCACAGUAUUUUAAAGCCAUGCAUGGUGGCCAAAUCCCUAAUCUCAGCACUCUGAAGGCAGAGGCAGGGAGAUCUCUGAGUUCGAGGCCAACCUGGUCUACAUAAUGAGUCUGCCUCACAAAACAAGACAACACCCAUAGCGUUUUCACAGCAGCACCAAUUUCCCCAAGAUUUUAGUUUGUAUGAUAGAAAAAAAAAAGCAUUCACACAAAUCGAUCCUGCUCACCCUCAUUCAAUGAGCAAGCUUCUCAACUCAGUCAUCUGUGAAUCCCUCCGAUGACACCACGUUUAUGCCACAGUACCCAAGCAUUUGCUGAGUGUCUUUUACACUGUUAGUUUGUUCGAAUGUGGUAAUUAACGAAAGAAACACCAAUGCAAAACAUUUUAAUAAGUUGCCGAAUAUACAGUUAUUAGAAUUAUCUAAAUAUCACUUAUAAAAAUUGGUAUAUCACAUUAAAUGAUUCUAGAAACACAGUGAUGACCCCUGCACUCCAAGAAUAUCCUGUCAAUGUACAAAUUACAAACACUGAAAAAGAAAACUGGAGACAUUUAGAACAUUUACACCCAAGUACAGCAAUACAUUCAUUCAUCAAGUAUGGGGGGGUUGGCACUGUUGCCUGUAGUUACCGUGGACACAAUUUGGGUGCAAUUUUCCAUAAUUUUGUACAUCUUCCAGUAAAGAUCCCACAGCAAAGUGUCCGUGUGUGCCUUUCCCCUUCUCGACAGGGAAUCACAAACCCUACCUUCAAUAAUGAAACUGUUAAUCCUGUAUGUGGACACUGGGCCAAAGUUUAAUCACAAUGAUACAUUUUUAAAAAUUAAAAAAAAAAAAAAAACCUCUUUCAUACUGACUUAAUGGCAGGAAUCGUGGCAGCUCUUAACAGAAGUUGGCCAACGAGUUGGAAGACUUUCAGUAUUGCCAGCAAAGAUGUGGACUCCUCCUCCAAAUAUCAGUAUUUUAUGUUAUAAUGUGAUUACUCAGAAGUGAAGGAGUAACUUCAUAUCCACUGACAAAUCUGAAAUACUGGCGAUUUAAAUCUGAGGUCUGAAACGUUCGCACUAGUAAGGGCUGACCACAGUGACGCUAUGCUAAUACUGUUCCAGAGGUGAAGCUAAGCAUACCUUUACGAGCACAAGUGGAACUGAACGUUGUUUUACCUUGUCUAUAACUGCCACCCAGACGGAGAGUCAACUGGAGGCGACAAUUCUGCACAUCUGACCUCACCUCACUUUCACUUGGUCUCAGCCCAAAAGUCAAAAAUUAUCUGCCUUAUUUGUUAACUCCAUACUUAACCAUUUAAUCUUUACGCAAACACUCUCCUUAACAGCUUUAAAUGCAGGUGUCUGUAGAUCUGUGGGAAAGAAGUCCCUAGCAGUCACUUCACCUAGACAGGAUGCUGGGAAUGGUUAGUCUUGACUGGUUCACAGUCGUACACUGGAGAGGGGCUGAAAAUGCUCGACAUGGUGCAUGCUUGGUAAAGGAAUCUGGGCGAACCACCCUAAGGAUAACCGCAUUCUAAAAAGGACUGGAUGUUUCUGGGCAAUUAAACCAUUUUAGGGGGAAGAGAAAGGACAACUGCAGCUACAAAUAUACAAAACUCAAGGUCAAGGGUCUGGAAGAUAAGGACAGCAGCGUGAACAGCCGUUUAAACAUCAGCCCUCAAGUGGAGUGGUACUAACAGUCGGCCAUUCAAAGGCCGGCCUCAGCGCCUGUCCAUUUCACAGUUCAGCAACUCCCUCCUGCCUACACAUUCCAAAUUCAAAACUCAACGAGAAGACUGCAACCGAAUUAUGGAAAUUCAUUUUCCCCCAAAUGUGAUAAACUUGAUAGUUCCUAGGCCUGGUGGGAAGAGCAUUGCCACGGAGAUCACAAACCACUAAAUUACAGGACAUCAACAUUCAGAAAAUAGUUAUUAGUCAGUUGAGCAGCCUGCAAGGCCACGGUAGCAACCUGUAGUAUGGACAGGCAGAGUGCACAAGCCCCCUUCAGACACACAAAGCAAUUUAAUGGCUAUUACAGCCACUGACACACAUUUUCAAAACUCUCUCGAAAGACGACUUAAAUAUUUAACAAUUAUAAUUUAUGUAACUUCCAUCCAUAUUAAAAUAAUUAAUGUAAAUACUUUAUUAUAAAACUAUUUUACAAUUUAAACUUUUAUUUGAGAAACGUAUUCACAUCCACAAUUUCUUAAAAGUCCUUUUCAUGAGAGUGCAUCCCAUAAGAAAUACACUAAAAUCAUGUUGGGGGAAGGGGCCAGCAUUGCCAUCAGUCCGAACCGUCUCCUCGUUUGCUUAGUUCUUAAACAUCUGUGUGUUCACAUAUGCUUGGCUAGUGAUGGACGCCUCAUCCCCAAAGUGGCAAAUCUCAGCAUCAUCUUACAAGACAGGACAGACCAGAAAACGCCACAGGUUGGUUACAUACACACGUUGAUCACGUCAUCAAAAGCAUAAUCAAAAAGUAACAUAAAGUGGGCAACAGUGUUAAAAUGUAAACAAGAAGAAUUGAGUAUUAAUCCCUUCCCUGAAAAGCAGAGAUAAGAAUCGCUUCCUGUUUUAUUCAGACAAAACCUAGUCAUCAGGAAGGCAGGAUGCUGGCUUCCAAAAUGCUUCAAAGAGCUGUAGAUGAAGGACUUUACUGAGCGACCGUGUGCCCAAAGCUUUGAGUACUUGAGUUGACUUAUUCAUCGCACACAGUUUGACAUCAUCCCAAACUGCCUCUUAAGAUUCAAAAUAGUGUUCAUCAGAUGAGCUUGAGAGUUACUGAAUCACACCCAGGAACAAAAGUCAAUAUUGUAAGAAAAAAGGUAAAACUCCAAGUUUUCUAAGAAUUAUCGGUAGAAACUCACUCCCACAAAAUGAAAGAAGCAAAACCAUCUCUAGUCAGUACACACUUGGGCAGAGAACAUGGAGUCCUUGUGGAGGAGACUUGGAGCCUCCUGAGUGAAAACUCACGAAACGCACAUGCCCGAGGCACGCUGGCUAAUGACCCAUUUAUUCCUGGCUCACGUUUGGGCGUGGGCUUUUGCAAAACUACCCUGUGAUGGGGUCAGGAGAGUAAGAUAAACUUAAAAUUCCCUCCACGUUCAAGAAAAUGGUUCUGGGGUAUAACAGUUUCAUUUGUAAUUCUGAAGGAAAAUGGGGUUUUUAAAAAAGGUAAAGUCACAACUCAAAAAUAUUUUUCAGAAACGUCAAGCUGUUCAAUUAUUGUAAUACACCGGUAAGUCAAAGUGCAAGCCAUUAUUACAGUAUUGACAGCAAAAGGAUUUGAGAGUUUAAUUUCAAUUUUA